rnacentral:rRNA from 1 species
AAGCAACGCGAAGAACCUUACCACGGUCUUGACAUCCCUGACAACCGAGAGAUCGGGCGUCCCCGUUCGGGGGACGAGGGUGACAGGUGGUGCAUGGUUGUCGUCAGCUCGUGUCGUGAGAUGUUGGGUUAAGUCCCGCAACGAGCGCAACCCCUAUUGUUAGUUGCCAUCAUUCAGUUGGGCACUCUAGCGAGACUGCAGGUAAUAAACCGGAGGAAGUGGGGAUGACGUCAAAUCAUCAUGCCCCUUAUGACCUGGGCUACACACGUGCUACAAUGGUUGGUACAACGAGUUGCGAGUCGGUGACGGCGAGCUAAUCUCUUAAAGCCAAUCUCAGUUCGGAUUGUAGGCUGCAACUCGCCUACAUGAAGUCGGAAUCGCUAGUAAUCGCGGAUCAGCACGCCGCGGUGAAUACGUUCCCGGGCCUU